GAAAUAUCUGUUUUCUACUUUGGGAAUAAGUACUCUUUAUGAAAUACUUAAUUAGGGCACUUAUGAAUUUUGUACCGCGAGGGGCAGAAAUAAAAAGUAAAUAAAUUUAGGUAAAAAGGAGCUGGGAGAGUUUACCUUUGGUAUUAUGGUUAGUUAAAAAUUGUGGGUAUUAGUAUCUCAAAAACGAAGCAAAAUGAGCUACCCUUUUCUUUAGCUAGGCUAAAAAUGACUUACUGUAGUAAUAGUAAAGGACAGAGAAAAGAGUAGAGGUGAGAAUCCUUUCGAAUUUUGGUAUAGCUUUUUUUAGGGGAGACGGAUGUAAGUUCGCUUUAUAUUUUAUUAAGGAAGAGAAAAGUGGUUAAUCACUUUUCUCUUAGGAGAAAGAACUCUGGUUUAAGAGGAAGGACACAAAUAAAUUUUAAAGAAUUAAAAUUAUAAGUAGGCUUUAAGCAGCUUUCUUAGUGGAGAGCGUUUGAGCUCAUAAUUGUAAAAAUUAAUAAUUAAUGAGAUUUUUAGCCUAACUCAUAAUUAAUAUACUCUAAUAUUCCUAAUAAAGGAGGAAAGGAUGACUAAAUUAGUAAGGCUGAAAUCUUUUAUAAAUUAAUCAGGGGAAUAUACUUACAGGUUGUGUUUCAUAAAUUCUGUUUUCUUAUUAAAGAGAUUUAUAUAUAAUAAUAAGGUAAGAAGAGGAACUCGGCAAAUAUUUCUUGCGCCUGUUUACCAAAAACACCGCCUCCAGAAAAAGAUUGGGAGGUUCUGCCUGCCCGGUGACUUAGUGUUAAACGGCUGCAGUACUCUGACUGUGCAAAGGUAGCAUAAUCACUAGCCUGUUAAUUGCAGGCUCGUAUCAACGGCUAGACGACAGGAAAGCUGUCUUUUUUUACUAGACCUUAAUUUAGCUUUAAGGUGAAGAGGCCUUAAUGUGUCAGUGGGACGAGAAGACCCUAUUGAGCUUUAAUCUUUUUAAUGGGAAUUUCAUUAAUAAAGUUUUGGGUUGGGGCAACCGCUUUUAUUAUUAGACAAAAGCUUAAAUAAUAAUGAAUCAAAUCUAUUACUGACCCAAAACAUAUUUUGAUUUAAGGAACAAGUUACCCUAGGGAUAACAGCGUAAUUUCUCUUGAGAGUUCAUAUUGACAGAGAAGCUUGCGACCUCGAUGUUGGAUCAAGAAUACCUGGAUGUGCAGCAGCCUCCAAAGGUUGGUUUGUUCAACCAUAAAAAUCUUACGUGAUCUGAGUUCAGUCCGUCGUAAGACAGGACAGAUUCUAUCUACUUUUAAUUGGCCCUUUCUUGUACGAAAGGACUUUUGGGGCAAAAGUGAAGGUUAAAACUUCCUUUUGGAAAAAAUCUGAAUAAAAUAAAAGGAGAAGGUUUUGCUA
rnacentral:rRNA from 1 species